UACGGAGGGUGCAAACGUUGCUCGGAAUCAUUGGGCGUAAAGCGCACGUAGGCGGUCCGGCAAGUCGGGUGUGAAAGCCCUCGGCUUAACCGAGGAAGUGCAUUCGAAACUACCGGACUUGAAUACUGGAGAGGGUCGCGGAAUUCCCGGUGUAGAGGUGAAAUUCGUAGAUAUCAGGAGGAACACCGAUGGCGAAGGCAGGUCUCUGGGCCGAUACUGACGCUGAGGAGCGAAAGCGUGGGGAGCGAACAGG
rnacentral:rRNA from 1 species